GAUGAACGCUGGCGGCGUGCCUAAUACAUGCAAGUCGAGCGAACGGACGAGAAGCUUGCUUCUCUGAUGUUAGCGGCUGACGGGUGAGUAACACGUGGAUAACCUACCUAUAAGACUGGGAUAACUUCGGGAAACCGGAGCUAAUACCGGAUAAUAUUUUGAACCGCAUGGUUCAAAAGUGAAAGACGGUCUUGCUGUCACUUAUAGAUGGAUCCGCGCUGCAUUAGCUAGUUGGUAAGGUAACGGCUUACCAAGGCAACGAUGCAUAGCCGACCUGAGAGGGUGAUCGGCCACACUGGAACUGAGACACGGUCCAGACUCCUACGGGAGGCAGCAGUAGGGAAUCUUCCGCAAUGGGCGAAAGCCUGACGGAGCAACGCCGCGUGAGUGAUGAAGGUCUUCGGAUCGUAAAACUCUGUUAUUAGGGAAGAACAUAUGUGUAAGUAACUGUGCACAUCUUGACGGUACCUAAUCAGAAAGCCACGGCUAACUACGUG
rnacentral:rRNA from 1 species